CAACAAUUGGAUGACUGCAUGACAGAAGCGGGGUUGUUUUGAAUGCCAUCAUUGUUAUGAAGGCUAUUCGCGACAAUCCUGGUGUUUUGCGAGCCAAGCAACAUCCGAGGCCUCUGGAACAAACAACUAGAGUCAAUGUCAGAAGACUACAGUAGAAACUGCAAAUGCAAGCACACGGUUGAACAGAUGGUGCUGAGAAAUAUCACGGACAUGCUGCACUCAAUGGGAAACGACAUAAAAUCAUUUCCUCUUCUAGAGAUUGACAAACAACAUGAGACGACAGACGACAUACCUAGGGAGAUCAUCGAAGAGACCUCGAUUGAGGUGGACCCCGAGGACGCAUCUUUACAUCAAAACCUAAACAACGAGCAGAGGAAGGCCUACGAUGAAAUUCUACACACAAUUAACCGCCAAAGAGGAGGCAUAUUCUUUGUCGAUGGACCAGGAGGCACAGGAAAAACUUUUCUUUAUAGAGCGCUCUUGGCCACAAUACGCGAACAAGGAAAGUUUGUUGUGGCGACGGCCACUUCUGGUGUUGCUGCUCGGAUGGAGGAAGGAUGGAAGUUACCCAGAGAGGAAGAUUGCACCAAUGUUGAUUCAGAGGAUGAGGAUGAAUCAACCAGUCAGAGAAAGAGCAAGAAGCGCAGUAAGAAGCCAAGAGAUAAAGCAGUGAUGAAUGUGGAAGGUUCGGGCACACUUAGUACCGGCAAGAAGGCCAAGGCUGAGGUCCCCGGCAAGGAAGCUGCCGCUUGCACUACCUUCUGA
rnacentral:rRNA from 1 species